rnacentral:lncRNA from 1 species
AGCGCCUGCCCAUCCCGUCCUGGCAACUCCGCGGUGGACACUGUGUAGACUAGAUUUCACUCCCUUACGCGCCUGGCUUAGCCAUGUCUGACAAACCUGGUAUGGCUGAGAUCGAGAAAUUCGAUAAGUCGAAACUGAAGAAGACAGAAACGCAAGAGAAGAAUCCAUUGUCUUCCAAAGAAAAUGCAAACACGUUGGAUGAGUUUGAAAGGACUAUGCUGCCCUUUUGACAUCAAAGACCUGCUGACAAUGGAGGCCACGCCUGCUUCUCCCAUCGCCUGUCUGGCUGGCAGGGAAGGAAAAUAGCUUGAAUGUUGGUGAAAGACUUAGCGGAGUGGGAGGGCAGUGAAAUCUAGAGUAAAACCAAGUUGGGCCAAGUGUCCUGCAGAAUCUAAAAUGAAGUUUAAUCAGCGUGCCAUUUUUGUUGUUGUUUGAAAGAUUUUAAUUUUUGGAAUGCACAGUUUUUAUUUAAAAAAGACAUUUUUAAACCACUGCUUGUGAGAUUGCUUGUUGAUUGGAAAGAGUGUUUUAUUCACCAUUUAAACGUUUGCAAAGUGGCGUGCCCCUUGGCCUCACAGGCAAAGAAUAACUUAAAAGCUGACGAUUUGAAUAAAUUAUGUUACAGUAUGAAAUAUGUUUUACCUGGAUAUGUAAAAUACCUUCUUUAUUCUAGCUAAUUGGGAGAUGAUUUUUUUUGGCUAAUUGAGAUUACCUUUAGAUUAUGUUUUCAAAACUGGCUUAUACUGUAAUCUACAACUAAUAAGCACUAAUUUAGAGUUCAGCUAUAUUGUUGCAUGUAGUGAGAAGGGACUUAAUUACAAACUUAAGACGUAAGUGUGCAAUAAAGUAAGCUAAGAAGAAAA